AAACACUGUAUCUGCUCUCUGUGGUUCCCGUCAGUAUUACUUUUAGUGUUAUAGUGACAAGGCAUUUGUCUUCUGUCCCUAUGUCAGUUAGGGACUGUUUCUCCAGAGGCCUUUCUUUGAAAUAUGCAGCCCGAGAACAGCCAAAUGAUUUCUUCCUACUGCAAGGUGAAAGUGUCAUCUGCUUUCUGUCAUUGAAUUAAUCGACAGAGAAGCAAGCUGCUGUUCUAGUUGGCAUGAUGAAUACUGGUAUCAACAGGAAGAUUUUUUGUUACAGUUUUAUACAAUGCAAUGUUUAUGUCAGUGAUGUCAAAAGUUGUUUAGGACUGGCAAGGCAACUCAGUGGAUAAAGGUGCUCUCCAUCAGCUAUAAGGACACGUGUUGGUUCUCCAGGAUUCACAUGGAGAAAGGUGAUAACCACCUCUGACCCAUACAGGUCUACUGCUGAAUAAGCUCACCUUCUCCAACAUUUUGAACUCUGGCUGACUAGUUCAGUGCUGUUCUGGCUGAAACUCCUUUCCAAGCUAACUGAUUCAAUCUGGCUUCUCUGAGAUUCUAACUGAAUUGCUCUGCUUGGCCUCAAAAUACCUCUGGUAUUUAGUUAUAAUCUUCUGGCUCCUUAUUAGUCUCUAGCUUCAACUGCCUCUAUUGACCUGCACUGAACUGAAUGAGGUGACAAUUAUCUCAACUCUACUUUGCUGCACUCACUUCACUGUCUCUUGACUAUAUUUUUCACCCUCUCUCUUGUGCUGCUCUUAAAUACUUUGUCUUGACUGUGCUGUUCCCAUGAGAAUUGGGCAUACCCUAUCUCUGACUCAUUUUGUCAAAUCUUUCUCUGAUUGGCACUAUCUAUCCCUAAAUUUGGCAUCAUUGCUUGGCAUUAAAGGUGGGUAUUAAGGGUGUGUCUAUAUUUCAGCCAGAGGAAAAUAAAGGUGUUUGGUGUGUCUGUAUUUCAUCCAUAUCACACAUACCUUGGAUGUGAUUUGAGGAGCCAUGCUGCCAGAUUAAACUUCCUCUAUAAUUAUUUGAAGAACAUUUAACUAAUUAAAAUUGACUGAAAGG